CGUACACUCCUACGGGAGGCAGCAGUGAGGAAUAUUGGACAAUGGGUGGAAGCCUGAUCCAGCCAUCCCGCGUGCAGGAAGACGGCCCUAUGGGUUGUAAACUGCUUUUAUCUGGGGAUAAACCUACUUACGUGUAAGUAGCUGAAGGUACCAGAAGAAUAAGCACCGGCUAACUCCGUGCCAGCAGCCGCGGUAAUACGGAGGGUGCAAGCGUUAUCCGGAUUUAUUGGGUUUAAAGGGUCCGUAGGCGGACUGAUAAGUCAGUGGUGAAAUCCGACAGCUUAACUGUCGAACUGCCAUUGAUACUGUUAGUCUUGAGUAAGGUUGAAGUGGCUGGAAUAAGUAGUGUAGCGGUGAAAUGCAUAGAUAUUACUUAGAACACCAAUUGCGAAGGCAGGUCACUAAGUCUUAACUGACGCUGAUGGACGAAAGCGUGGGGAGCGAACAGGAUUAGAAACCCCUGUAGUCCC
rnacentral:rRNA from 1 species